rnacentral:rRNA from 1 species
UACGUAGGGUGCAAGCGUUGUCCGGAAUUAUUGGGCGUAAAGAGCUCGUAGGCGGUCUGUUGCGUCGGCUGUGAAAACCCGGGGCUCAACUCCGGGCCUGCAGCCGAUACGGGCAGACUAGAGUUCGGCAGGGGAGACUGGAAUUCCUGGUGUAGCGGUGAAAUGCGCAGAUAUCAGGAGGAACACCGGUGGCGAAGGCGGGUCUCUGGGCUAUAACUGACGCUCAUGCACGAAAGCGUGGGGAGCAAACAGG